GAAGUAAAAGUCGUAACAAGGUCUCCGUUGGUGAACCAGCGGAGGGAUCAUUACCGAGUUUACAACUCCCAAACCCCUGUGAACAUACCUAUACGUUGCCUCGGCGGAUCAGCCCGCGCCCCGUAAAACGGGACGGCCCGCCCGAGGACCCUAAACUCUGUUUUUAGUGGAACUUCUGAGUAAAACAAACAAAUAAAUCAAAACUUUCAACAACGGAUCUCUUGGUUCUGGCAUCGAUGAAGAACGCAGCAAAAUGCGAUAAGUAAUGUGAAUUGCAGAAUUCAGUGAAUCAUCGAAUCUUUGAACGCACAUUGCGCCCGCCAGUAUUCUGGCGGGCAUGCCUGUUCGAGCGUCAUUUCAACCCUCAAGCUCAGCUUGGUGUUGGGACUCGCGGUAACCCGCGUUCCCCAAAUCGAUUGGCGGUCACGUCGAGCUUCCAUAGCGUAGUAAUCAUACACCUCGUUACUGGUAAUCGUCGCGGCCACGCCGUAAAACCCCAACUUCUGAAUGUUGACCUCGGAUCAGGUAGGAAUACCCGCUGAACUUAAGCAU
rnacentral:rRNA from 1 species